rnacentral:rRNA from 1 species
AAUCUUACCGGGUCCGGACACACUGAGGAUUGACAGGCAAUAUAUGUGACUCUUCGGAGUUUGCAUUGUUAAAUAUGCUAGUCCUUUCAUGAUUAUGUGAUAGGUGGUGCAUGGCCGUUCUUAGUUCGUGGAGUGAUCUGUCUGCUUAAUUGCGUUUCAAAUUACUUAUAAGGUAGCAAUACGCGAUGAAGCUUUCAAUAGUCCUCACGGAUUCACUUGAGUCUCUCGCUUCGCUAUCCUUUCGAAUGCAACGAACGUGACCGCAACCUCUUGUUGCCUUCGUUUAACAUCCUGCAGCUCGCUGUGGGUACUGAGGGCUUCACUCGGUGACUUUAGGCUGAGCAAUCGGUCUUUUGAUCUGAGUAAACUAGAGGGACCGCUGUCAACUUCUUAAACCAGAGGAAGGUUGCGGCAAUAACAGGUCUGUGAUGCCCUUAGAUGUUCCGGGCUGCACACGUGCUACAAUGAUCGUAGCAGUGAGCAUCUUAUUUGAUUUACUUAACACCGCAUACGUGAGUACCAACUAGCUUAGCAAUAAGUCAAGUAGUUCUCUACGCAGCGGUAACAGCCUGCUUCGAGAGCAAGUGGGUAAUCAAUUAGAAGUAACGAUUUCUU